rnacentral:rRNA from 1 species
CACGUAGGGGGCAAGCGUUGUCCGGAUUUAUUGGGCGUAAAGAGCUCGUAGGUGGUUCGGUAAGUCGGGUGUUAAACCCCCAGGCUCAACCUGGGGACGCCACUCGAUACUGCUGUGACUUGAGUCCGGUAGGGGAGCGUGGAAUUCCUGGUGUAGCGGUGAAAUGCGCAGAUAUCAGGAGGAACACCAGCGGCGAAGGCGGCGCUCUGGGCCGGUACUGACACUGAGGAGCGAAAGCGUGGGUAGCAACAGG